rnacentral:sRNA from 1 species
GAGCUGAACCUGCCCAAGACGUGUGAUAUCAGCUUCUCAGAUCCAGACGACCUCCUCAACUUCAAGCUGGUCAUCUGUCCUGAUGAGGGCUUCUACAAGAGUGGGAAGUUUGUGUUCAGUUUUAAGGUGGGCCAGGGUUACCCGCAUGAUCCCCCCAAGGUGAAGUGUGAGACAAUGGUCUAUCACCCCAACAUUGACCUCGAGGGCAACGUCUGCCUCAACAUCCUCAGGUGAGGGCACUGGCCCUCUACUGCCCUCCUCGGCCCUGCCUGCCAGGCCUCCCUCAUGGUCUUGUGGGCACUACAUCAGACUCUGUCCCUUCC